rnacentral:lncRNA from 1 species
GUAAGUGGUGGAAUUUAAGAGAAGAUAUUGACUUAUUGAACCAAAGGAGAGCGCAAAGAAAUUCCAAAUUAAGAGGCCAGUGCAAACUAUGUCCAUCAUUUUUUUUACCCUAUAAAUUGACACUCAUCAAUCUCAUAUUACAGAAAAUACUAUACUUCUUUUAUUGGUGUUUGAGGAAAAUGUUGUACAAGACUACACUUGCAUUCUUCAUUUUGUUAGUAUUUUCGGCUACAUUGCUCUUCCCUGUAGCACCCUCAAGAUUAUCUACAAAUAGUAAGUUAUUUUCCCUUUAGAAUUGUUAUAUAAUUUUCCCCUUUAUGAUAACAAACAUAACACUGAGAAUUACAUAGUAAUUGAUUAAGUUGUCUCAAAUUAUGUAAUUACUAAAGCUUAUAAUUAUUAAGAUAGUGAUUAACUAAUUAUACAGUGUAGUGACUAAAUAAUGAUAUCUAAGUUAGAGGCGGACCCACCUUUAGGGUCGGGGUUACCGGCGUCGAUAAUUUCAAAAAAAUAUAUGUAUGUAUAUGUAUAUAUGUAUAUGUAGAUAUCUUAAAUAAGACAUAUAUGGAUUGACACCUUAAGACUCAAAUAUUAGGUAGCUGCAUUGGUUGAUUUGGGGGCGCAACUCCUACAUUUGAGGUUAAUUUAAGAUCUUAUUCCGAUAUAGAUAUUGUGUUAUAUGAGUUCAAUUUGCAAUUUAUUUGCUCAAAUUUUUAUUCGGUAAUGAUAUUUCUGCCAUUUUUAAAUCCUGAGUCCGCCUCUGAUCCAAGUACACCUAAUUCUUUCAUAUUAAUAUGGUUGCAGUGAUAACGAGAGAUAUUAGUGAAACUCAUGCCAUUAUUUCAAACAGAAGAAUUGCAGUUCCCAUAAGAUGGAGCCCCGGAGCAAGAUCUGCAAAGGCGCCCCCAAGCCCAGAAAAUGGCAAAGGAAAUUAGCUACUCCAGUUUCGGCCAUUUGUUGUUGUUGUACUUGUAUUUCUUUUAAUUACAAUUAUAAUAAUCAAUAUUAUGAGAAUUGUGACAGUCACUCAACAAGAGCAUAUACCUCUUGGGUGAACCCCAUGUCUCAUGUCGAACCCCAAAAACCCAUAUAAGUAAUUAAUAGGUUUCUAGACGACUUCAUACCACGCAGUAGUGUCAAAGUUUACAAAAUAGCGAGAAUAAUUGCUUUAAUUAUUGUACCCUUAAAUAAGAAAUAGCAUUAGUGUAAUGGUUUUGCUGAGUUUUAAGUUAGAAAAAAUCAUGAGUUCAGUUGUAUUUCAUCA